CUCAAAUAAAUAACUGAAAAAAAUCAAUACAAAAUCCAUUUGGCAUAUCCAAAACCAUGAAAUCAUCACAUACGUUUCUCAUUUGCGUACUCAUGCUCUCUCUCUUUGCACUAUAUGAAUGUACGAGGAUGGAUGUUAGGUCGAACAAAGUCUGGCUACCAUGUGUCCAUAGAGAUUGCAAGCUUGUUCCUGGUGGAAGCUGCUAUUGCUGCCUAUCACUAUCAGCAAGAACAAAACUAAAUUGUUGGGCAGACCAACACUAUUGUAACACACAUUGUCCUCCUUUCCUUUAACAAACAUAAUCCUCCAUUGUACAACUUCUUAUUCUAUUACCAUUUGCUUUAAUCAAAAUAAGAACAUUAUUUAA